rnacentral:rRNA from 1 species
GACGAACGCUGGCGGCGUGCUUAACACAUGCAAGUCGAACGGAAAGGCCCUGCUUUUGUGGGGUGCUCGAGUGGCGAACGGGUGAGUAACACGUGAGUAACCUGCCCUUGACUUUGGGAUAACUUCAGGAAACUGGGGCUAAUACCGGAUAGGAGCUCCUGCUGCAUGGUGGGGGUGGGAAAGUUUCGGCGGUUGGGGAUGGACUGGCGGCUUAUCAGCUUGUUGGUGGGGUAGUGGCUUACCAAGGCUUUGACGGGUAGCCGGCCUGAGAGGGUGACCGGCCACAUUGGGACUGAGAUACGGCCCAGACUCCUACGGGAGGCAGCAGUGGGGAAUAUUGCACAAUGGGCGGAAGCCUGAUGCAGCAACGCCGCGUGCGGGAUGACGGCCUUCGGGUUGUAAACCGCUUUCGCCUGUGACGAAGCGUGAGUGACGGUAAUGGGUAAAGAAGCACCGGCUAACUACGUG